UUCUACUCACAGACUUAAGUUCUGCUCUCCAAUAUGUGACUGUAGCUUAAUUGACGGAGGAAUGCAAAAAGAGAUUCGCAGGCGUCUGACUACUGUCGACUCAUUGACUUCCCUCAGAGAAUUCUUUCACUUGUCUUUUAAAUUUUCCUUUCUUGUCAAAAUUGCAGGUGCAGAUAAAUGCUGGAAUCUUAUUUCAAUCAGAAAGUGCCAAGAACAAGAAAAGAUGGAGAAUUUUGAUUGUCGUUGAGGACAGAGCCUCAAACAGCUGGAGGCCUUCCAUUCUCUUUUAGCCUCCAUCCAUCUAAGAGAAAAAUGCACUAAGGAUUUCACUCAAUUUGUGCGGAAAGAUGAGGAAAUUCACACUGAAAUGAAGAACCACGCUCCCAAAAUAGCAUUAACCUAGAACAGCACUGCUGGGGGAAUAAGAGACCUUGAAUGUAGUGGGUCCAUCUUUGGUAAAAGGUCAAGGGGCGCUCCCAGGGGAUCGCUGGGUGGCGGUUAUCUGAUGAUACACUUGCUGUUCCUUUCAGGGAGCCUUGGAGCCAGCUCAGGGAUUUUCACCUCAGCCAGAUUUUCUUUCUCCAGACCAAAUAAAUGUGUCUUCUUCAAAUAAACAACUUCUGAGUAAACCUGGAAAUGACAGAAGAAAAAACAAAACUAAACUAACUCUGAGUUAGUUGUCACUCGGAGCCUCUCCCCUAGGCUGGGUCCAGCUAUUUGUCUCAGGACCCACCCAGCAUCUGCUCAUAAACCCGCUGCAGCGCGUGAUCUGAAAGAUUCUGUUUCCAGGCUGCAUCUUCACUAGUCUGGACCCGGGUCCUCAGCAUCAGGGACUGUGUUUGGGAUUUAUCUAUCUCCAGCCUCUAGCCCAGCUCCUGGCAUACGCUUCUCGAAAAGUUAAAAUAAUCUGUGUGGCUCACAUUCCACUCAACAGCACUGGCUCAGACCUUACCUGGCUUCCAUCAGACCUGGCCAGAGUCUACCGAGACCCCAUUGACUUGACCAACAUAGCGUCAGUCCAGCAAGACCUGAGGUUCACCAACAGCUCCAGAAAGUCCCAGAAGCAAGUAACAGGUGGCCACUUCCCCUGUCUCUCCUCCUGGUCGAGCCAUACCACACACGCAGAGGUCUCCACAGCAGGGCGUGCUUUGCUGCCCUCUGCUGACAGCAUCCCAGCUCCCGCAGAGUCACC
rnacentral:lncRNA from 1 species